GCCCCUGUGGCGGAAUGGUAGACGCGGUAGACUCAAAAUCUACUGUUCGCAAGGAUGUGGGAGUUCGAGUCUCCCUGGGGGUACCA
rnacentral:tRNA from 1 species